ACUGUAAAAAAUAAUUCAGUGGCUUAGUAAAUUUCACAAAAAUAAAGAGCUAUAUUAACUUAAUAAAAUCUUUUGAAAUCAUUUAAGUGAUAUUUUGAGUGGGUCAGAUUAAAAAUAAUAAUUAAAAAUCCAACAAAUAAUUUCUCUAAAAUGUACAUAUAUUAUUUAAGUUUAUGUAAUGAAAAUAAAUAAGUAUUUAACUAACUAAUUAUAUUUUUAAUAUACCUUCAAUAUUUCUGGUGAAUUCUAAUAGAAAUAUUUGAUAAUUAUUUACUUGUACUGAUCUGUUUUAGAAACUAAAAUUAUUAAGUAUUUCCUACCAAUUUUCCUAAAUAAAGUUCCAGCUUAAUAAAUGAAAGUUUAAAUAAAUUGAGUAAAUUUCGCGGCUAAAGUGAUCACGUGUGCAGCUCCGCAGGAAAAAAAAAAAAAUCUGCUUUCCUCAGCAGCGACGUCGACUAGCCAUACACCUCACAACUCCUGUUUCGUAGCUUAAUCGAAGUCACCUGAAGGACGGCUUUCCUCAGCAACGGCAAGGCCCGCACUCCUCUCAUAUUGUGAAGUUUAACAAGUUUCGCGGCUCAAGCAAGAGGCACCUGUCACUGAAGGACUGCUUUUCUCAGCUACGACGUGAACAGCAUCACUCGAAUUUCCUGGUUCAGCUGAUCUACCCAUCUUCGUACAAGCAGAGUUGGCAGAGGAGGUCAUAAAAAUCUACAUCCUUCGGGACAAUGAUGGGGCAGUCAGCGAUGUAAUCUUGGGAAUCACAGCAGAGCCUGCUGCCAUCUUUUGGGAGUCACAUUGGAUUUGAGAUAUCCCAAGACCCACAAAUACAGGUCCUUCUCCAAAAAUUAGCAUAUUGUGAUAAAGUUCAUUAUUUUCCUUGAUGUAAUGAUAAAAAUUAAACUUUCAUAUAUUUUAGAUUCAUUGCACACCAACUGAAAUAUUUCAGGUCUUUUAUUGUUUAAAUACUGAUGCUUUUGGCAUACAGCUCAUGAAAACCCCAAACUCCUAUCUCAAAAAAUUAGCUUAUUUCAUCUGACCAAUAAAAGAAAGGUGUUUUUAAUACAAAAAAAAGUCAACCUUCAAAUAAUUAUGUUCAGUUAUGCACUUAAUACUUGGUCGGGAAUCCUGCAGAAAUGACUGCUUCAGUGUGGCGUGGCAUGGAGGCAAUCAGCCUGUGGCACUGCUGAGGUGUUAUGGAGGCCCAGGAUGCCUUGAUAGCGGCCUUAAGCUCAUCCAGAGUGUUGGAUCUUGCGUCUCUCAACUUUCUCUUCACAAUAUCCCACAGAUUCACUAUGGGGUUCAGGUCAGGAGAGUUGGCAGGCCAAUUGAGCACAGUAAUACCAUGGUCAGUAAACCAUUUACCAGUGGUUUUGGCACUGUAAGCAGGUGCCAGGUCGUGCUAAAAAACGAAAUCAUCUCCAUAAAGCUUUUCAGCAGAUGGAAGCAUGAAGUGCUCCAAAAUCUACUGAUAACUAGCUGCACUGACCCUGCCCUUGAUAAAACACAGUGGACCAAUACCAGCAGCUGACAUGGCACCCCAGACCAUCACUGACUGUGGGUACUUGACACUGGAUUUCAGGCAUUUUGGAAUUUCCUUCUCCCCAGUCUUCCUCCAGACUCUGGCACCUUGAUUUCCGAAUGACAUGCAAAAUUGGCUUUCAUCCAAAAAAAGUACUUAGGACCACUGAGCAACAGUCCAGUGCUGCUUCUCUGUAGCCCAUUUCCUGCACACGCCUGUGCACGGUGGCUCUGGAUGUUUCUACUCCAGACUCAGUCCACUGCUUCCGCAGGUCCCCCAAGGUCUGGAAUCAGUCCUUCUCCACAAUCUUCCUCAGGGUCCGGUCACUGCUUCUCGUUGUGCAGCGUUUUUUGCCACACUUUUUCCUUCCUACAGACUUCCCACUGAGGUGCCUUGAUACAGCACUCUGGUAACAGCCUAUUCGUUCAGAAAUUUCUUUCUGUGUCUUACCCUCUCGCUUGAGGGUGUCAAUGAUGGCCUUCUGGACAGCAGUCAGGUCGGCAGUCUUACCCAUGAUUGCCGUUUUGAGUAAUGAACCAGGCUGGGAGUUUUUAAAAGCCUCAGGAAUUUUUUGCAAGUGUUUAGAGUUAAUUAGCUGAUUCAGAUGAUUAGGUUAAUAGCUUGUUUAGAGAGCC